AUAGAACGCUGGCGGCAUGCCUUACACAUGCAAGUCGAACGGCAGCACGGGAGCAAUCCUGGUGGCGAGUGGCGAACGGGUGAGUAAAGUAUCGGAACGUGCCCAGUCGUGGGGGAUAACGUAGCGAAAGUUACGCUAAUACCGCAUACGAUCUAUGGAUGAAAGCGGGGGAGCGCAAGACCUCGCGCGAUUGGAGCGGCCGAUAUCAGAUUAGGUAGUUGGUGGGGUAAAGGCUCACCAAGCCGACAAUCUGUAGCUGGUGUAGGGGAACGACCAGCCACACUGGGACGGAGACACGGCGGAGACGCCUACGGGAGGCAGCAGUGGGGAAUUUGGGGCAAUGGGCGGAAGCCUGAUGCAGCCAUGCCGCGUGCAGGAGGAAGGCCUUCGGGUUGUAAACUGCUUUUGUACGGAACGAAAAGGUUUGGCCUAAUAAGCUGAGCUCAUGACGGUACCGUAAGAAUAAGCACCGGCUAACUACGUGCCAGCCGCCGCUGUAA
rnacentral:rRNA from 1 species